GCGACCCCAGGUCAGGCGGGAUUACCCGCUGAGUUUAAUCAUAUCAAU
rnacentral:rRNA from 1 species